GUGUCGUUUCACUGAUGGAUGGAGCCAUCAGCGGAUGGCAACAACCUUGGUGCGUUGAGCUGACGGAUGCUACAGGGCCGUAGCCUAAGUGUUCAUUGCAUUGUUAUGAACACUACUUUUCAGGGCGGCAUCUAUGGAUUUUAUGGUGGCAAACUAGAUAGUGUUGCAAUAUAUUGUUUACCUCAGUUUGAAAUGAUAAAGAAGUCUCGAGGUCAAGAAUUGUCUGCUUUAUAGAGACACAGCAUGGUGGAUUACUUGAGUCCUGGGUAAUCUGUGUAGAACACUUUUGUAAGUACAACACAUAAAGGAAACACAUGUAUAUAACUUCACACAUGUUGUAUAUUCACCUUAUUUUCCACGACAACAAGGGCGGCGCCAUUGCGCUCAUUUUGUCAACGUACUUCCGACUGCAUAUGAUGAGCAGCUGAGGCAGUGGCUGAAGGAGACGCGUUAAACUUAAAAAGCUCACUCAAGCGCCUUUAUGUUUGUUUCUUACCAAUUUUAACGGACGGGAAGCCGACUGAGGAACACCCUUAUCCCAAGUAAUGGUUCGACUACGAUGUUCCGGUAACUUUAAACCACGCUGGGUGUUGAAAACGUGAUCAGUUUCAGAUGCAUUGAUGUGUAGUGAUCCAAUGGACAACUGUGAGGAUGAUAUACAAUCAACGUGUUCCUAAACUGUGAUGCAGAAACACAAUGGGAGGAUCCAUCUGUCUCUGACCACAACUACACUUUAAAAUCACAACUCAACCUGAAGCAACAUACAUCUGAUAUGGGAAAACAAACUUGCGGUUUCCCGGACAGGGCUUAUGCUGGUCCCAGGCUAAAAUGCAUAUUUGAGCUACAAUAAUUUAAAAACACCUUGUACUGACAUACCUCAACAUAUAUGAGUGCCAUUGUUUUGUCACAAGAUUUGGUUUGUUUGUAAAAACUAAAAUUUCCUAAUAUAAUUAAGGCAUAGUCCUGUAAACCCCGUCCGAGAAACUGCUUCAAUGUGUUGAGCUGGCACAAAUGUACAUAUCUCUGCUGAGAAACAACCAUCUUUGUCAGCUUUACACAGGGUUGAUGUUGCAUGCAUUACACAGUCGCCAAGCACUUUACUAGUACAUACACCAACAGCUUCCAGAUAAACACUUGGGAUCAGCACCUGAUGACUCUGAUAAAGCUGCGUCUUAAUUCAUUGCAGGGUGGUCUUGCUGAAAAGUUAGUUGUUUCUUAGUCCAUAGUUAUUUUUAUAAACCUUUACAAUGUGACCUGAUUUUACCUGUUGUAAAGUUACAUUAAACCUUCAUACAGUAUGUGAUCAGAUGUCAUGCAGUUAUAUUACACCUUUACAAUAUGAUCAGAUAUUGUGCCGUUAUAUUAAACAUUUACAAUGUGAUCAGAUGUUACCUGUCAUGCAUUUAUUUUAAAUCUUUACAAUGUGAUCAGAUGUUACCUGUCAUGUAGUUAUAUAAACCUUUACAGUGUGAUCA